AUUGAACGCUGGUGGCAGGCCUAACACAUGCAAGUCGAGCGGAUGAAGGGAGCUUGCUCCUGGAUUCAGCGGCGGACGGGUGAGUAAUGCCUAGGAAUCUGCCUGGUAGUGGGGGAUAACGUCCGGAAACGGGCGCUAAUACCGCAUACGUCCUGAGGGCGAAAGGGGGGGAUCUUCGGACCUCACGCUAUCAGAUGAGCCUAGGUCGGAUUAGCUAGUUGGUGGGGUAAAGGCCUACCAAGGCGACGAUCCGUAACUGGUCUGAGAGGAUGCUCAGUCACACUGGAACUGAGACACGGUCCAGACUCCUACGGGAGGCAGCAGUGGGGAAUAUUGGACAAAGGGCGAAAGCCUGAUCCAGCCAUGCCGCGUGUGUGAAGAAGGUCUUCGGAUUGUAAAGCACUUUAAGUUGGGAGGAAGGGCAGUAAGUUAAUACCUUGCUGUUUUGACGUUACCAACAGAAUAAGCACCGGCUAACUUCGUG
rnacentral:rRNA from 1 species